rnacentral:rRNA from 1 species
GAUGAACGCUGGCGGCGUGCCUAAUACAUGCAAGUCGAGCGAACAGACGAGGAGCUUGCUCCUCUGACGUUAGCGGCGGACGGGUGAGUAACACGUGGAUAACCUACCUAUAAGACGGGGAUAACUUCGGGAAACCGGAGCUAAUACCGGAUAAUAUAUUGAACCGCAUGGUUCAAUAGUGAAAGACGGUUUUGCUGUAACUUAUAAAUGGAUCCGCGCCGCAUUAGCUAGUUGGUAAGGUAACGGCUUACCAAGGCAACGAUGCGUAGCCGACCUGAGAGGGUGAUCGGCCACACUGGAACUGAGACACGGUCCAGACUCCUACGGGAGGCAGCAGUAGGGAAUCUUCCGCAAUGGGGGAAAGCCUGACGGAGCAACGCCGCGUGAGUGAUGAAGGUUUUCGGAUCGUAAAACUCUGUUAUAAGGGAAGAACGAAUGUGUAAGUAAAUAGGCAAGUCUUGACGGUACCUAAUCAGAAAGCCAAGGGUAACUACGUG